rnacentral:rRNA from 1 species
UACGGGGGGGGCAAGCGUUGUUCGGAAUUACUGGGCGUAAAGGGUUCGUAGGUGGCCAACUAAGUCAGACGUGAAAUCCCUCAGCUCAACUGGGGAACUGCGUCUGAUACUGGUGUGGCUCGAGUGCAGGAGAGGAACGCGGAAUUCCAGGUGUAGCGGUGAAAUGCUUAGAUAUGACAUAGAACACCAAUUGCGAAGGCAGCUUACUACACAGUUAUUGACGCUGAGGCACGAAAGCGUGGGGAUCAAACAGG